GGCACUUUGGCCGAGUGGUCUAAGGCGCCGUGUUCAGGUAGUCCGCUGUUCGCAGCUGAUCCUAUUCGCGGUCUAGUAAUAGGCGAGGGUUCGAAUCCCUCAGGUGUCA